rnacentral:antisense_RNA from 1 species
UGGGGCAAAAAAUGGGGGACAAAGCUGUUUGUGAUGUGUAGAUGAUUUUUUAUAACAGAGGAGUUGAACAAAGAGAGAUUUUUCAAGAAUGGUGCGUCCGAGUGGACUCGAACCACCGACCCCCACCA